rnacentral:misc_RNA from 1 species
GUAGGUGAACCUGCGGAAGGAUCAUUGUCGAAUUCUGCAGACGNCCGCGNNCACGUGANCAAACCGCGGGCAGGCGGGGAGGCCGGGGCGACCUUGCCCUCCUGCNUUGCGCGCACCAAACGUAACUCUCGGCACGGAAAGUGCCAAGGACUACUCAAACGGAUUGCCCGUCUCUGCCGCGGCUUCUGCGGUCGGGGACGCAGGCGUCUGGAACGUAACCAAUACGACUCUCGGCAACGGAUAUAUAGGCUCUCGCAUCGAUGAAGAACGUAGCGAAAUGCGAUACUUGGUGUGAAUUGCAGAAUCCCGUGAACCAUCGAGUUUUUGAACGCAAGUUGCGCCCGAAGCCAUUAGGCUGAGGGCACGUCUGCCUGGGCGUCACGCAUCUCGUCGCCACCCCGUCUCCCCGCGGGGGAGAAGGNNNGGCGGAUG